rnacentral:rRNA from 1 species
AAUCAACGCUGGCGGCGUGCCUCAGACAUGCAAGUCGAACGAUUAAAGCUCUCUUCGGAGAGUGCAUAGAGUGGCGCACGGGUGAGUAACACGUAAGUAAUCUACCCUCGAGUGGGAAGUAACGUCCGGAACGGACGCUAAUACCGCAUAAUGCAGCGGCACCGCAAGGUGACAGUUGUUAAAGGAGAAAUUACGCUUGAGGAGGAGCUUGCGGCAGAUUAGCUUGUUGGUAAGGUAACGGCUUACCAAGGCUACGAUCUGUAACCGGUCUUAGUAGGGACGGUCGGUCACACUGACACUGAAUAACGGGUCAGACUCCUACGGGAGGCAGCAGUC